UUGGUAGUGCCUGCAAGCAAUAAAAGUUAUCAUAGCCAAGAUUUUAAAUUACGUUUAACAAAAAAGAGGAAUCACAGCAAUCAAGUUAUCCUAGCUACAAGGUCUCCCUUUUUCCACAGGGGGUCGUCAUGUCAAGAUUGAACUGCUUUUGAAAUGUUUAGGUCUUAUCACUAUUCAAAGUUGCCAAAGAACUUGUGGAGGGGGGGAGAAAGAAUGCAGAUGCGCCAGAGAUAGACCGGGAGAGCCAAGAACCCACCAAAGCCACUGAUGCAAGUGACUGACAGAAAAGUGAACAGUUCUCAAAACAAAAGAACAAUGCAUAAUUGGAUAAUGUGACUAACCAAGGGUGGGGAGAAAGAAAGCUAUUGUUUAACUAUGCAUGCAUUGCACGGGAAAAACCAAAGUUGACUUUGAUUCUUCCAUACCGGAAUGGUGCCUCUAAUAAAGUUUUGCUUUUGGGAUUUCAAA